rnacentral:rRNA from 1 species
UACAGGGGGGGCAAGCGUUGUUCGGAAUUACUGGGCGUAAAGGGUCUGUAGGUGGCUUACUAAGUCAGACGUGAAAUCCCUCAGCUUAACUGGGGAACUGCGUCUGAUACUGGAAAGCUUGAGUGCAGGAGAGGAACGCGGAAUUCCAGGUGUAGCGGUGAAAUGCGUAGAUAUCUGGAAGAACACCAGUGGCGAAGGCGGCUCGCUGGACAUGUAUUGACGCUGAGGUGCGAAAGCGUGGGGAGCAAACAGG